GUGCACAUUUAGGGAAAGCACAUAUACUAAAACUGGAAUGAUACAUUAGCAUGGCCCCUGAGCAAGAUGCACACAUAUUCAUGAAGCGAUUCAGCAUAAG
ensembl:snRNA U6 U6 spliceosomal RNA